CGAACAAGGUCUCCGUUGGUGAACCAGCGGAGGGAUCAUUACCGAGUUUACAACUCCCAAACCCCUGUGAACAUACCACUUGUUGCCUCGGCGGAUCAGCCCGCUCCCGGUAAAACGGGACGGCCCGCCAGAGGACCCCUAAACUCUGUUUCUAUAUGUAACUUCUGAGUAAAACCAUAAAUAAAUCAAAACUUUCAACAACGGAUCUCUUGGUUCUGGCAUCGAUGAAGAACGCAGCAAAAUGCGAUAAGUAAUGUGAAUUGCAGAAUUCAGUGAAUCAUCGAAUCUUUGAACGCACAUUGCGCCUGCCAGUAUUCUGGCGGGCAUGCCUGUUCGAGCGUCAUUUCAACCCUCAAGCACAGCUUGGUGUUGGGACUCGCGUUAAUUCGCGUUCCCCAAAUUGAUUGGCGGUCACGUCGAGCUUCCAUAGCGUAGUAGUAAAACCCUCGUUACUGGUAAUCGUCGCGGCCACGCCGUUAAACCCCAACUUCUGAAUGUGACCUCGGAUCAGUAGGAUCCGU
rnacentral:rRNA from 1 species